NNNNNNNNNNNNAAAAGUCAUCAACAACAAAGUUGAAUAACUCAUCAAGAUCUAAAACUUUUAUUUUUUUUAUUUCUUCAUCUGACGAAAUGUUAGUAAUAUUAUUCACAAAUUUUACAUAUAUGUGUUAUAGUUUAUAAAACCAGAUAAGAGAUAUGUCAAUUUUGUGAACAAUGUUACUAUCACUUUGUCGUAUGAAGAAAUGACCAAAAUAAAAGUUUUAGAUCUUGAUGAGUUAUUCAACCGUGUUGUUGAUGACUUUUUCAGUUGAUAUC
rnacentral:pre_miRNA from 1 species